rnacentral:lncRNA from 1 species
AAAUACUUGUCUUUUUGUGAAAGUAACGCUUCUAUACUACUUAUAAAAGCGUGAGUUUUGAAUUUUUUCUCUUUCCAAAAAUGUCUCUAUCUUUUUUACUAAUAUUGUCAUGUCCAGUAAUUUUCAACUAUCCAUUUUAAAUAAAUCUUUAAAUAAUAAUUUAUUCUCAAAUAUAGAUUUUAAGUUUUCGCCAUUGGAUCUCAUCCAACCAAUAAAAAUGAAAGUAUCUAUCAUUUUUGUUGAUAAAAAUACCCUAUAUAUCCGUUAUCUCCCAUCUACGCCGCGUUUCUCAAAUAUUUUUCUUCUACCCACCAAUCAUGUAAUACGUAAAACUAAACUUAUCACUUAUCUAACCUAACAUAAUAUCCGCCAAUCACGUAAUACCUCUGCUAAUCACUAAAAAAAAUUAAUACCCGCCCAAUCAAAACUAAAUCGUUAAUUAAAUAUAAUUUUAAAUAUUUUUAGCAAAAUAUUCAAUGUUUAAAUAAUACCCACCAAAAUAUUCUCCGCGUUCUCAAAUAUAAAAUAUAUUUUAUCCAUUUUAAAUAAAUCUUUAAAUAAUAAUUUAUUCUCAAAUAUAGAUCUUAAGUUUUCACCAUUGGAUCUCAUCCAACGAAUAAAAAUAAAAGUAUCUGUCAUUUUUGUUGACAAAAAUAUCAUCCAUAUCCGUUAUCUACUAUCUACAUUACUCAAAUAUUUUUUUCUAUCCAUAAUACGUAAAACUAAAUUUAUUUCUUAUCUAGCGUAAUACCAGCCAAUCAUGUAAUACAUCCGCUAAAUUUAUUUCCUAUCCAAGAGUUUCCUCAAAUAUUUUUUUUUCUCAAACGUAAUAUCUACCAAAAUUAAAUUUUAAGUUUAUAAUGCCCGCCAAAAUUUAAUACCCGCGAAUUUAAUAAUUUGAAUUUUAAUUCAUGAUAGUAGAUUUUUCCUUACAUAAGAUAGUAGAUUUAAUUUUGACGAGUAUUAAA